rnacentral:rRNA from 1 species
AGUGAACGCUGGCGGUAGGCCUAACACAUGCAAGUCGAACGGCAGCACAGGAGAGCUUGCUCUCUGGGUGGCGAGUGGCGGACGGGUGAGGAAUACAUCGGAAUCUACUUUUUCGUGGGGGAUAACGUAGGGAAACUUACGCUAAUACCGCAUACGACCUACGGGUGAAAGCAGGGGACCUUCGGGCCUUGCGCGAUUGAAUGAGCCGAUGUCGGAUUAGCUAGUUGGCGGGGUAAAGGCCCACCAAGGCGACGAUCCGUAGCUGGUCUGAGAGGAGGAUCAGCCACACUGGAACUGAGACACGGUCCAGACUCCUACGGGAGGCAGCAGUGGGGAAUAUUGGACAAUGGGCGCAAGCCUGAUCCAGCCAUACCGCGUGGGUGAAGGAGGCCUUCGGGUUGUAAAGCCCUUUUGUUGGGAAAGGAAUCCAGCUGGCUAAUACCCGGUUGGGAUGACGGUACCCAAAGAAUAAGCACCGGCUAACUUCGUGCCAGCCGCCGCCGUAA